CUGACACGUUACAAAGCUGCGAACUUCAAAGCCGGGUUUAAAAGGUUCUGUUCUCAUCCAGCAAAAUAAGUUUGCUUUUUACAAUGCCGAAGAGAAAAUCCCAACAAAUUAGAGUGGAAUCUUAAACAAUGAAGCAGGCCCGACUCAGGAAUAAGGAACCAAUCAAUGCUAUCAACAUGGCUUCUAUCUGUCCUUAGGACUCUAAUCAUUUCCAGAUGAUAGCAUGCAUCUGAUUAGGGCCCUCUGGCAGCCCUCGCCUCCAUCAGGGCCCGGUGAAAAGGAGAACAAACAGGAGGCUCUGAAGCUGGAGUCCAAGAUUUCACUCAUCUGCAGGAUUCAGCUCAUCUGGUGGGCCUGCCAGGCAGUGCUACAAGUGGUCUAUUUGGGGUAGAACAUCAUCCUGGGCAAAGCCGCAUGGUCCCCAUCUCCACAUAACCGUCGAACCCAGUUCUGGAUGACUCCUGGCUGAGUCACAGGGAAAGAAGAAAGAGCGAAAAACAAAAAGCCUUUUCACUAAACUCUCUGAGAGACCUUGAGAGCCCUGCUUGGAAAUAAGAGUAUCAUAAAGGUAGGAGAAGGGAGAGACUACCAACUCCCCUUCACACACACACACAUACACACUCAUAUACGCACACAUACAUGUAUAUACACGCAUGCGCACAUACACACAUGCACUCAUAUGCAUGCAUAUACAUAUGCGCACAUAUACACCAUACAUUCACACAUAUGUAUAUAUACUCACACACAUACAUACAUACACAGACAAACGCACACUUGCUCCUGUUUGGGAAGGUCAGGACAGCCCUGCCCUCCAGGAACCCAAGAGCUCUAGAAGUACCAGGCGGCUGCAGUUCCAGUAACUUUGUCUCUCCCUGGCACUGGCACUGGCACUAGAUGGUGGCAUUGGCAGCAACAAACAUGGUUUCCGCCUUCUCUGGGGACUGAUGCAGGUGACAACAAAAAUGACCGUAUGCAGCAAGAUGAACUACAUGAAAAAACUGCAUAGAAAAAAAUACUGGAAGGAAAUACAGCAAAUGGUUUUCUUUCCUAUAAGGAUGACAGCCUAAAUCUUGCAUCCUUUGAAAUUUACAUAAAUCUCACUCAAACCCCCUCUCCCAAAUCCAGAAGGAAGUCUGGGAUCCUCUCCCUGAGGUCUACAAGUUCCAUAGGGCUUGGCUUCUCAGAUCUGCUGCUUCGUGUCCUGCUUCCCCUUCACUCUAGUCCCACUGACAUCUUACCUCACUCAGCUCUUUUCUUCUCUCUGCCCUUUUUUUCUCCAUUUCUUAAAACACGAUUUACACAUGGCUUUGGGUGUAACAGACUUCACUGAAGGUGUGGGGAAUUGGUGAUGGGUAGGGGGAAGAGAAGGGUGCCCAUGUCAUCAUAGCACUUAAAAGUCCUCCAGCCACCCCUACUCUGGUGAAUUUCUCACCCGCCCACAUCUGCACAGCCCCUGGCCACCACCUGUCACACCACAGCUCAGCCUACUCCCCCGCCCGCUGCUCCGCUCACCUCUGCCUCUUCCUCCAGUACCACCCACCAACUGCUCCUCAUUCUUAUGCAGCGCAGUGUAACUACGGCUGUGUCUCUGUGCCUCCAUCUACCAGGCCAGCCUGAAGGGCCUCCCUCUUUCGUUUCACCUUCAAAGCACCCUGUCAAGGUAUUUUACCAAACAAAAAUCGACUUACUCCUGAGACGAACAGCUCUGCUGCUUCCCGAAGGGCAGAAUCAGUUGCAGUCGGCUACAGUUUAAAAUAGUAUUUUGACCUCUACUUCAAGUAUUUUCCAUACUAUCCCCACAGGCAUGUAUUAAUUCCUAAAAAAAUUUUUGAGCAAGAGUUCACAUAGCUGUAGGCCAGUGGUUCUCAACUGGGGGCAAUUUUGUACUCCAGAGAUGUUUGGCAAUGUCUGCAGACAUUUUUGAUUGGCGUAACUGUGGGGGUAGGGGUGUUACCUAUAGUAGGUAGAGACCGUGGGGGGUGCUAAGCAUCCUAUAAUGCGCAGGACUGUCCCCCUCAACAAUGAAUUAUCUAGCCCAAAACGUCAAUAGUGCUGAGGUUGAGAAACUACUAUAGGCCCAUGGGCAUCUAAAGAGAGUAACAUAGGGACUCUCUCUUCCCCUGUUUAAAGUAGAACCAAUUAAAGGAAGCCAUUCCCUUCGCUUUGGCAGAAUGACAGCAACUAGGCAUUGUUGAGAACUCACCCCGUUCCCCACAACUCUAUAAGGCAAGUUGCUGUCCAAUUAUCACCCCUUUUUUAUGGAUGAGGGAACCAAAUUGAGGCCUAAAGGGGGUAAAUAAUUUGCCAUGGUCACACAGACAGUGAGUGGUAGACCCACGAUAACCGGAGACAGAGAUGUCUAUGUCAGGCAUGGAGGCAAUCUCGCUGACGUUCACACUUCGGUCUUAAACUUACCACACACAGAUGUUUCUUGUAUUUCUACCCGAUUGCUAUGCAAACAGAGAGGGUGCUAAAGGAAAUAAGAUCUGGCCAUUAAGUUUCAUCUCAAAAUUGUGAAGGGAAGUUUUGUAGAGAGAACUUGAAAAGUGUGUUUCAUUCAGGAAACUUGAUUUUUGUCCUUUAAAAUUAAUCAAUUAUAUUAUCGGUGCACUAAACAUAUAGGUUUUUAAAAGUAAUUUUAAAGGUGCAGUUUUAAAUAUGGGCAGGAGGGCAGCGGGCAGGAACAGAUGGUUUCACUGGAAAGUUCUACCAAAUGUUUAAAGAAGAAUUAAUACCAAUUCUACAUAGUCUCUUCCAGAAAAAUAGAAUAGGAGGGAACCCUUCCCAAUCUAUUUUAUGAAGCUAGUAUUAACCCUAACACCAAAACUAGACAAAAAUAGUAAAAAAAAAUGAACACUACAGACCAAUAUCCCUCGUGAAUAUAGAUGCAAAAAAAAUCCUUAGCAAGAUUUGAGGAAAUAGAUCCAGCAAUAUACAAGAAGAAUUAUUUACCACGACCCAAGUGCAGUUUAUUUCAAGGAUACAAGGCUGGUUCAAUAUUUGAAAGUCAAUCAGUAUAAUCCACCAUAUAACAGGCUAAAGAAGAAAAAAAUCACAUGAUCAUAUCAUUCAAUGCAAAAAAAUCAUUUGGCAAAAUUCAACAUCCAUUCAUGAUUAAAAAAUUUUUUCAUAAAAAUACGAAUAGAGGGAAACUUCCUCAACUCGAAAAAGAGCAGCCACAAAAAAACCUACAGCUGACAUUACGCUUAAUGGUGAAAGACUAAAUGUUUUCCCCCUAAGAUCAGGAAUACAACAACGAUGUCUGCUCCUACCACUCUUAUUCAACACAGUGCUGGAAGUUCUAGCCUGUGUGAGAAGGCAAGAAAAGGAAAUAAAUGUGUACAUAUCAAAAAGUAAGAAAUAAAACUGUCCAUAUUUGCAGUUGACAUGGUUGUCUAUACAGAAUAUUUCAAGGAAACUACCAAAAAAAGGAAUGAAAAAGUAAUUUCAGCAAGAUUGCAGGGUAUGAAAUAAACAUACUGGGGCCGGCCCAGUGGCUCAGCAGUUCAGUUCGCACGUUCCACUUCUCAGAGGCCCGGGGUUCGCAGGUUCAGAUCCUGGGUGCAGACAUGGCACCGCUUGGCACGCCAUGCUGUGGCAGGCAUACCACAUAGAAAGUAGAGGAAGAUGGGCACGGAUGUUAGCUCAGGGCCAAUCUUCCUCAGCAAAAACAGGAGGAUUGGCAGUAGUUAGCUCAGAGCUAAUCUUCCUCAAAAAAAAAAGAAAGAAAGAAAGAAAUAUACAAAAAUUAAUAGUAUUUCUAUAUAUUAGCAACAAACAUGCGGACACAAAAUUUUUAACUAUAAUGCCAUUUACAGUCACUCAAAAAAUAAAAUAGGUGUAAAUCUAACAAAACGCGAACUUGUAUGCUGAAAACUAACACUAAUUUUUUUUUAACUCAAAGAAUAUCUAAAUCAAUGGCAAGACAUUCUAUAUUCAUGGAUUGAAAGACUCAACAUAGUAAAGAUGCUAUUCUCCCAAAACUGAUAUACAGGUUUAAUAAAAUUCUGGCCAAAAUCUCAGAUAUUUUUGUAAAUAUAGACAGGGUUAUUCUAAAAUUUAUAUGGAAAGUCAAAGGAACUCGAAUAGUUAAAACAAUUUUGAAAAAGAAAAAAGAGAGAGAAAUCAGUCUACUUGAAUUUGAGACUUUUAUCUAGCUAUGGUCAUCAAAGCUGUGUGGAAUUGGCAGAGGGGUAGACAUGUAGAGCAGUAGAACAGAAUAGAGACCCAGAAACAGGCCCGUACAAACAUACCCAACUGAUUUUUGACACAGAUGCAGAAGCAAUUCAAUGAAGGAAAGAGAGCCUUCUCACAAAUGGUGCUGGAGCAAUUGGACAUAAAAAGCAAAAUAGAGAAAAAGAACCUCAACCUAAGUCUCACACCUUAUACAGACAGACCUUAUUUUAUUGUGCUUCACUUUAUUGUACUUUGCAGAUACUGCAUUUUUUGCAAGACCCUCCACCAGCAAAAAGUUAUGACUUGCUAAAGGCUCAGAUGAUGGUUAGCAUUUUUUAGCUAUAAAGUAAUUUUUAAUUAAGGUAUGUACAUUGUGUUUUAGCAUAAUGCUAUUGCACACUUAACAGACUAUAGUGAAGUGUGAACUUAACUUUCAUAUGCACUGGGAACCCAAAAAAAUUGUGUGACUUGCUUUAUUGCUAUAUUUGCAUUAUUGUGGUGAACUAGACCCAAACCCACAAUAUCUCCAAGGUAUGUCUGUACAAAAAUGAAUUCAAAAUGGACCACGGGCUUACUAUAAAACUUUCAGAAAAUAACAUAGGAGAAAAUCUUCAAGAUCUAGGGCUAUGUAAAGAGUUCUUAGACUUGAUACCAAAAGUAUGGUCCAUAAAAGUUGAUAAAUUGGAUUUCAUCAAAAUUGAAAACUUCCGCCACAACCAGAAGGAUCCACAACUAAAAAUACACAACUAUGUACUGGGGGGCUUUGGGAAGAAAAAGGAAAAAUAAAAUCUUUUAAAAAAAAAUUGAAAACUUCUACUCUGUGAAAGAUCCUCUUGAGAAAAUGAAAAGACAAGCUAGAGAGUGAAAGAAAAUAUUUGCAAACCACAUAUCUGGCAAAGGACUAGUAUCUAGACUAUAUAAAGAACACUCAAGACUCAAGAGUAUAAAAACGUACAAUCCAACUAGAACAUGGGCAAAAGACAUGAAAAGAUAUGUCACCAAAGAGGAUAGGCAGAGGGCACAUAUGAAGAGAUGCUCAGCAUCAUUAGCCAUGAGGAAAAUGCAAAUUAAAACCACAAUGAGACAUCACUACACACUUAUCAGAAGGGCUAAAAUAAAAAAUAGCGACAACACUAAAUUUUCAUGAGGAUGUGGAGAAACUGGAUCACUCAUACAUUGCUGGCAAGAAUGUAAAAUGGCACAGCCACUCUGGAAAAUAGUUUGACAGUUUCUUAAAACACUGAACACACACUUACCAUAAGACCCAGCAACUGCACUCAGACUCAUUUAUCCCAGAGAAAUGAAGAUUUAUGCUCACACGAAAACCUAUACAUGAACGUGUAUAGCAGCUUUAUUUGCAACAGCCAAAAACUGGAAACCACUCAGAUGUCCUUCCAUGGUGCAUGGUUAAACAAACUAUGCUACAUCGAUGCCGUAGGAUACUACUCAGUAAUAAAAAUAACGAACCAUUGAUACAGGCAAUGACCUAGAUAGCCUCCAGAGAAUUAUGCUGGGUGACAAAGCCAAUCCCAAAUGGUUACACACCGUAUGAUUCCAUUCAUAUAACAUUCUUUAAAUGAAAAAAUGGAGAAAUGGAGAACAGCUUAGGGGUUGCCAGAGGUUAAGGAAAGGUUAGGGGUAGGAAGGAAACAGGUGUGGCUAUAAAAGGGCACGGUGAGGGACUCAGGUAGUAAUGGGAACGUACUCUGUCUUUACUGUUUCAAUGUCGAAAUCCUGAUUGUGAUAUUACACUAUAAUUUUGCAAGGUGCUACCAUUUGGAGAAACUAGGUAAAAAGUAUAGGGGAUUUCUCUGUAUUAUUUCUUACAACUGCACGAGAAUCUAUAAUGAUCUCAAAAUAAAAAGUUUAUUUAAAUAUAUAUGUAUUUAUCUAAUAUAAAUAUAAAUUUAUUUUAUAUAUAUUAAUAAAUAUAUAAAUUAAAUAUAUUUAAUAACUAUAUAUUUAAACUAUAUGAUAAUUAUAAUAUUGUAACGAACUGUCAUAAUUAUAGAACUAAAUUAUAUUACAUCUAUUUAAAUAUGUAUGUGGAAUUCACCUUAAGCUUUUCAAAGAGCCAUAGUUUGAAAGAAAGAUAAGCCCUGAUACUGGCUUAGGAAAAGGUAAAAACAGUGCAAGCCCAGAACAGGCUAGCUCCGUGAUUAAGGCUAACAAGUACCCAUUCACUGGAGGAGACGCCCCUAAAUGUGAUCAGGAGACAAGUUGCCCACUGUCCUGAAGAGCAGGCGCUCAAAUCCAUGUAAAAUAAACUGUAGACAUAGAAAUUAUAAAGUGAGAAGAGUGUGGAAGCCAAGGAGGGCGAUGUCGUAAUGACAAGUGCAAACAGGAAACGGGGAGUUACCAUGGAGUCUAGAAAGAGCGAGAGGGGGAGACACUAGGUGUUUUUCUAGCACUGACCAGGACAGAACACAGCUGGCCAACACAAACAUCCAGUCCACUGGGCAAACACAGUCCUCGCUGAAGGAGGACUUUUCUCUGGGCCAGUCACCACGUGAUGAAAAUAUACCCUCUAGGAAAUCCAAUUUCCUCUGCUUGGGUUCCUUAUUCAACAAGCAACCUUCUGAUCUUAAUUUGAUUUUUUGAUGGUUUCCUCACCAGAAGAGAAGGAGUUAAUGGGAUCCAAUCUGCUAAAUGAUUAUGUGUUUUCUUCCCUUAUGACCCUCCUAUGGUUUUUUGGCAUUGGGUAUUGUGUUCUAAACUGUUUUCUGUCUAGCAUCACAGUAUUUUCCCUCCAACAAGAAUAUAAUCCCCUUCAGCAAAGGGACUGAGUCAACAACCAUUUAUUAAGCACCUGUUAUGUGCUUGGAACUGUGCAAGGAUCAAAGGAAAACGAGAACUGAGAUAUGACUUGCGCCACCAGUGAUGGCUAAUUUCCUGGUGGCCCUGUACCACUGGGCUGGUAGUUAAGACAUUAAUGGCCAAGAAUGUGGGCUCCAGAAUCAAACCAAUGGGGUUCAAAUCCUGGCUCCAACAUUUACCAUCUGUGUGACCUUGAGCAAAUUACAUAACCUCUCUGACCCUCAGUUUCCCCAUCUAUAAAGCAAAUAGGAGACCUCACAAGUUGUGAAUAUUAAAUGAGUUAAUUUGGACAAAGCACAGCACCAGAGACAUAGUUAGUAUUCAUUAAAUGGGAAUUAUUACUUCUCUGAUAAUCAUUGUCACAGUAGUAAUUUUCAAUUCUGUGAGACUACACUUCUCUUUCCUCCCAUCUAACUUGCCUGCCCACCUGAGAUCCAACCAUUUACCAAGUGCCCCUUUCCAGGCAUCUGGGAAUGCCACAGAUUGCAGAAAAGUUCUAUAAAUUGCCUUGCCUGUCCCUUGCCACCAACCAGCACGAGACUCAAACCCACUGCUCUUUCUUUUAGGCACCUUCAGAUCAGCUUCUCCUACCCCGAACUGUGCCACCUCCUCUCAUCCCCAAAAUGGGCCAAGGCUGCCCUCCUUCCCCACAGUGCUGGCUGAGGCCUUCAUUUGACUUGGCCUUCAGAAGGCUUGGGGAUAACCAAAGGCACCUGCGCCCAGAGAAUUCUAAACAACUCUCAGCAUCCGAGUUUACCGCUGUGUCUCAGAGGCUGCCUCUCUGCCUCUCUGAAAAACCACGCAGUCUCCAGGCCCCGUAUCAUUUGAGGCCCAUAGAGAGGGGGAAAAAAAAUAAAACCUGUUUUGUUCUGUUCUGUUUAGUUUUAAACAGAAAUUUAAUCUCAGAGAUGCAGCUCUGCCCACCAAGAAGACAGUCUUGCUCGUUCCUCUGUAGAGUAUUCAUCCGUGGGUGUGGGGAGCCGCGCGUGCGCCUCUGGCUCCCCCAGGCCCAAGGGCACUUUGCUUUACCUUUGCAGGUCCGUGAGGCCCGAUAUAGAGGGAGUCUGCCCUCAGGGGACAACGGGGCUCCCUGCUGCAGAAAUAGACUGUCACAGCUUCAAUAACCCUCAUGAUCCUCCUCUAGCCACCAAGGUUUCAAAAAUCUUGAGGUCCUUUAUUAACCAAGGCACCCUAGCACACCUGUUUACAUCCAUUGUGCCCAGCUUAAGGCACAACAGCUGAAUUCAUUGGAAAGGACUUGGCCGCUUAUAACAGCUACUGCCAUGCCAAGUGUCUGAACAGAGUCCUGAUUGGCACAAACACCAGUCUGACCUCCCCAAAUAAUUGAAAGGCAGUUUGAAUCUGUUGUUGGGCUUCUUUGCUAAAAAGAAAACACUAAAGGGAAAUACAGCAAAACCUAUUUAAAUCCUCUUUCCCCUCCCCUCCCGGGCCUCUGCCCCAGGAUUCGCCCCUUGAGCUAUUCUUUUUCUCCCCCUUAAGUAGCUCCUUCUGGAAUGAACGACUCAAGGCUUCCUCUACUCAUCAGCCCGGGUGGGGGCAGCCAGGCUGGCAGAAUCUUCCCACAAAGCUCAGAGGAACGUAUGCCUACAGUUAGACACACUCCUGCUUUCAUUUUGUUGUUGUUCCUCUCACAUGUUAGGUUAAAUACCGAGAGGUAGUUUUUCCCAACAGUUAUCAAUAAACACAAGGUUGUCUCCCAUCAAUAUGACUAUACAGUCGCCCUUUCUGCUUGCCCAACUCAACUAAAUUUUCAUUUUACAAGAGGAAAAUAAACAGACUGUAAGAAGAGAAGAAAAGGGAAGAGAAGAAGAAAAGGGAGAAGAAGAAGAAAGGAAAAGAGGAGGAAAUGAAAAGAGAGGAAGUGAGGAAAAGUGAGAGAGGAGAGGAAAGAGCAUGGUUGAAGGUUUUCUGUGCCUUCUGCGGAAAAGCCUCGAGCUUGCUGGAGAGGGGUCCUCAAAGGCAGCCUGAUCCUUUCCCUGCACGUUCUGGUGAUCCCAAAAUAAGAUCAGUGGUAGAUGACAUUGCGCUUUCUCGAAACACCUUUCCGAGAACACCUCCCACCACGUGUCAAAACAAAUGAAAUUCCACAUUCCUGCUUGUAAAUAUUUUUCCCCGGCAAUAAAUGAAAGCUGUGAUUCCACAGAUACCUCACAGCUUAGCAUUCUUUAUGAGGUGUAUAAAUAAAACCCACAGCGUGAUUGCAGAGCUCCUAUCCUGGCGGCAUCGUUUUUAUCCUACGGGCGAGCACAUAUUUACAUAAUUCAAUUCAACAAAUACUGAUUGAAUAUACAUAGUAUGAUAUAAAUAUGUAUCAAUACGUAUGAGAACUAAAUGAAGAGAAGCUGGUCAGCAUCAGGCAGUGUGGGUGAGCCCCGACGGCGCCCCCCUCAAAUCCUGCAGCGGGAUCGGGCUGUCUAACUGGGGGGAACAGAUGUUACUUGAGUACCACCACAUUAUUCACCUAGCACUCCCCUGUGCCCGUCCCUGAUCCCACAGUGCGGAGGAUAAAUAAAAUCUGUGUUUGUGCAUUAAAUCAACAUGCAUUACACGCCUCUGAAAAUACAUAUAAGAUGCAGGAAUUGCAUCUUUAUUUCCAAACACAAUCGUUAUGAAAGUCUCUUAAAGAAAUUGGGGGAACCAUGGGGAAAUUUUAGCAUUUUUGACGAAGGAGAAAAAGGUUUCAAGUUGCAUCUGUUAUUUGAAUUCUUAGGCUGAGGGACUGACCUUUUGGAUAUUAGCAAAUACCUUUCUAAACUUAACAAAUUUUGCAAAGAAAAAGCCUAUAAAUGUAUUUAUUUCUGAAUCUGCACUGAAGGGAAAAUUAAAACUGCUCUGCAUUAGUCCGCUCUGGCUGCCAUGACAAAAUACCAUCGAAUGGGCAGCUUAAACAACAGAAAUUGAUUUUCUCACAGUUCUGGAGGCUUGAAGUCCAAGAUCAAGAUGCCAGUAGGUUUAGUUUCUGGUGAGGCCUCUCUUCAUGGCUUGGAGAUAGACGGCUGCCUUCUCACUGUAUCCAC
rnacentral:lncRNA from 1 species